UGGGGAAUCUUGCGCAAUGGGAGAAAUCCUGACGCAGCAACGCCGCGUGGGUGAUGAAGGUCUUCGGAUCGUAAAGCCCUGUCGGAGGGGAAGAUGCUUGUGCAUGCUAACAGUAUGCACAGGUGACGGUACCCUCAAAGGAAGCACCGGCUAACUCUGUGCCAGCAGCCGCGGUAAUACAGAGGGUGCAAGCGUUGUUCGGAAUUAUUGGGCGUAAAGGGAGUGUAGGCGGCUUGUUAAGUCUUCUGUGAAAUCUACGGGCUUAGCCUGUAAAGUGCAGAGGAAACUGGCGAGCUUGAGUGUCGGAGAGGAUAGGGGAAUACCCGGUGUAGAGGUGAAAUUCGUAGAGAUCGGGUGGAACACCAGUGGCGAAGGCGCCUGUCUGGCUGACAACUGACGCUGAGACUCGAAAGCAUGGGGAGCAAACAGGAUUAGAUACCCCCGUAGUCC
rnacentral:rRNA from 1 species